AGCUCCAAUAGCGUAUAUUAAAGUUGUUGCAGUUAAAAAGCUCGUAGUUGGAUCUCAGGGUGAGCUCAGUUGGUCGGCCUACUUGGUCAGAACUGGCUGACUCUCCCUUGUUUCUGAAUCCCUGUGGUGGUUAACUCUAUCGCUGUGGACUUCAGAUCGUUUACCUUGAAAAAUUAGAGUGUUCAAAGCGGGCGUUUGCUUGAAUACAUUAGCAUGGAAUAAUGGAAUAGGACCCUGGUUCUAUUUUGUUGGUUUUGAGGACCAGAGUAAUGAUUAAUAGGGAUAGUUGGGGGCAUUCAUAUUUAAUUGUCAGAGGUGAAAUUCUUGGAUUUAUGAAAGAUGAACUUCUGCGAAAGCAUUUGCCAAGGAUGUUUUCA
rnacentral:rRNA from 1 species